rnacentral:lncRNA from 1 species
GCUAUGCACGUGUACCAGGUAACUUAACAAGGCUAUCACGAGUUCAACAACUUGAACUCAUCAUCCCAAGGAUCUCCCACCAUACAUGCAUAUUACAGUAAUCACAUUCGAUACACACACUUCGAAGAUAAGAGCGGAAGACUUUACAAAACAUUCUUUUUAUUUCUAAAACUGAAGGUUAUUACAUAGGAAGAGUUACAUUUAUUACAAGUCCUGAUAUAAUCAAAGUGCAUAACUUAUUACAAUAGCAGGAAGGUAGGAACCCUCCAAAGCUUAUACAUAAGCCUAACUAAUCCUCCUCUAGAACUGGAAGCGCCCUCCAGCCUCACGAACACAUAGAGUACUCCUCAUCACCUACAACAACAUGGGUUCGAAAACCCUGAGUACGAAGUGUACUUUCGCAAGUCUUACCCGACUAAGGAAAAAUGACUCUCAAGGAUAUGCUGGUUAAAUAGGAAUCAAGGAAAAGGCUUUAGCAAGAAUCAACUUAGAUACUUUUGCAGAAAUAGCCUACUAAAGUGAGUCCUUACUUUCAAUAUUUUAACGCCAGAUUAAAUAUUAAUAGACUCUGGUAGCAUCUAGUCUAAUUUCACCAUUUCAUCAAUACAACAUCAUUUUUAUUCAUAAUGUUUACAUCCUGACUUAGGUUGCAGGGCAGCGAUCAAGUCUCCACUCUCCGGGGAUAUAACGGCGAUCCGAAUCGAUUUACUCAGCUGAGGAUCUCUAACCACACGACAUAUGUAGCACUUAACCCUUGCAUAUGUCAACCAUUCCCACGGAUCCUCCACUGCAUGAACAGGUCCGCGCCACCCGAGAGCACACCACCCUUUUUAGGCGGUCCUUUGCCAGUAGGGUACGUGCCACUCUCGCCAUCUCUCCACUCCUAGUGCGCGAUUGUCUUUUCAUGUAUGGAAUAGCCGGGUUCAAGCUUACCCUGUCCCAUAUCCAGGGCAUGUGGCCAGUUAAGAUAGUCCUUGAUCAUACAGGCCUACAUACGCAUCCAAUCCUUAAUUAACCUGGGUAGAACAUCACCUGUUCAUAGCCCAAGUCCCGAUUUAAGUACUUUCAUCCUUAGGAUUGUUUGUGUUCCUUAGGAUGAAAAGAGCAUCAAAGGGAACUUUGCAGUAAGAUCCCACCACGCUCUCAAUGAAAAUAUUCUUGCAGGUAGAAGCCAUCUUUCCUCAGGAUAACCCCUGAGCUAGGCCUUAAUGCAAAAGACAACCUCUAUCCACAAGAUCUGAGCAGGGCUAAGCAUUUUUGUAAAUCAUAUUGUGAUACUUCACCAGAAGUAUCUAUAAAGGUAUGGAUAUCAAGGAAGGCAAUGCAUCAAAAGGUUCCAAGCAACUCCUAUAAACCUAAUGCACAUUUCACUAGAAUUAAAGUGUGUAAAAAUUAUUUAAAAACACAAGGAAGGGGUUGCAUGCACCGGGGCUUGCCUUUGUUGCAGUGAAGAGGUCUAGAUCCCUCUACAAGCUACCCAGUUAGAUGGCUCCUCCACUUGAUCAGCAGCCACUGGAGUAGAUUCCUCUUCAGUCACCACUUCAGCUUGAAUCUUCAGUCCUCGUGCUGGGAGUUCUAUAUGAAAUAACAUGAUCAUGGAUGUUUAUGCUUAUGCAACUUGAAAAUAAAAUACUAAGAAGCAUCGCAAGGCUUACAUCACUCUAAUGGUGCACACAAAAACUAACAAAACCUUAAGAGAGCUAAAUACUCUAAUAUCACAACUCAAUAAUACUAGGGCAGCCAGCAAGGAUGAGGUGAUAUUCUUUAGUUACUCCAAUAUAAACACUAGUUUACUAAAUCAGCCACCACAGCUGCACUACACCAACAUACACACGCAAAACACAGGGAGAGAGUGAUCUUCUUCAGUCAAUCAACCAGACACUGAAUCCACCUCUAAUACCUAAAUGUAUAUGUCCUUGUUCAGCCCCACUUUUUCCUUGUUUCUGCUAGGGACAGACCAUACCAAAUCUGUUCACUAACUAAAGCCUUUCAAGUUUGUUACAAGAAUCUAAGACCCAAACUGCAUGUACUACAAGUUAAGGUGUCCAAAAUUCAGUCACCUUCCACUAAAUUUGUUUUCAGUUUUCUGAAACAGACAUCUCACACAGACCGACAGAAGAAGUUUAGGCACAUUUUACUCUAAAUUUUAUACAGCUUCAAACUUAUUUCUCUAUAAGAAACUUGUUCACCCAAUACAGCUACAAAUCUCUUCCAUAUGGUCUUUAGCUUAUAACCAUACAUACCAAGCGUUAGGCUGCAUUAAAGUUGAGUAAACACAUGGAAAAUCCAUUUUCCCAAUCUGAAACAGCACAUUACUAGGUCUGACAGAGAGUUUUGUCACUCCUUUUUCUCCAAAUUCUGCACAAUAGCAAGCCAACGCUUUGCAUGAGACUUGCUCUCCUUUACAUGGUAUUUCACUUUGCUAUAGCAUUCUUACCCCAAUUCUUCUUGGAUUAAUUACCACAAGGACCCAAAACUGAAUAAAAACACACAAAUUCAGACUUAAAUAUUAUUCUAAGUCUGAAUCCUAACAUCUGACAGUCCACCUUUUGGCCACUUUUAUUUCCAAAUUUAUGUGGAACCAAGUCCACCUCACUUUACAAAACUUACUCUCUUUACUAUGGUCUCCAGAUUUGCUAUGGAAACUUUAAUCCAAAACCCCACGAAUCAGUCACAAAUGAAUUCCAAACUAGGCAUCCUGCUGUAAUUCAGUUCUCAGAACUGAAUAACAAAAUUCAGUUAUGUACAGUCUGACGGUCCAACUUUAGCCAACCCUUUUCUCCAAUUCCAAAUAGCUUCUAGGGUAUGGCCUUCAACCAAACCUGGUCUUCUACUAUAGCUCUAUUGCUUUGCUAUAAGAGACCUAAUUUAAUUCCCUACAGGUUAGCCACUACAAAGGUACAAACAUGGCUAAAGUUUACUGAAAUUCAGACUUAGCCAAUUAGCUAAGUCUGAAACCCAGAAGUUGAUGGCCCAGUUUUGAGCAAGCUUUACAAUCAGUUCUGUAUAGGUUUUAGGUCAGAUCACUAAAUCAAACUUGUACUCCUAUAACAGAUCUAUAACUUUGUUAUAGUGUCCAUAAGCUAUAACUCUAUGGAUAGAGCAGCAAAGAGCUCCAAAGCUGCACCCAAAACAUACAAAUUCAGACUUUGAAUCUGCACUAAGUCUGAAACCUGACAAUCCUAUUUUAGACCAAAUUUCACACCUAGUUUUAGGCAACCAAUAGUGGUAGAGUUCAAGUAGUAAAUGGUGUGAGCUUCACUGACCUGCGAGGAGUAGGGAACGGGCACCACACGACCGAGACAACCUCCGAGGAAUCUUGGCCAUGGUGAGGGUGAGCAUGGUCACCAUGGCAUUCCUAGUGAGUUGGCGCACAAGUUCUGAACAGUGUCAACUGAUGGUUGGGGAGAAGGUUACAUAGGCUUGCAAACUCAAGGAUCACCACACAUAAGCAAUGAGCCAAGGCUAGGGCCUGAGGCAAGAAGGAAACUUCACUGAACUAUGCCUCAAAACACUGAAUAUAUAGGCAGGAGUAUGGAGCUCGACAAAAUCCGGUGAGCAUAAACCUUGGGGAUGCCAGCGCUGCAUGGCUCCAUGACGUGGCUCUCAUGCCCAGGCACCACACCAGCCACAAGCACAGCCAAACCUUGAACCUGGGCUGGUUUCACGUGGACAAGGCAAGUAGAUAAACUUGCAUUUGUUAAUAGGUACACAACAGUCCAAAAAUUGAUAUUUUUGAAGGGAGAAACCCCAAGAUCUUUAUCCAUUCACUCCAGCCUUACCCCAUCUCGAGUACAAUAGUGGAGUACAGCACAGAGAAAAAGAUCUCCUUCAGUUUAUAAUGGCUAACUUUAAAUUCCCUUCGUCCAUUACUGCAGAUAGUAAACAAAUUGGAUAAGGAUUCUACUGUCCACUGCCCACAAAACAGCUAGUAUUUGAUAUUUUUCCAUAGAAAGUGGGGCCUCUAGCACUUGAUCUAUGUACCAGAUCCUUAUCUCCAUCAAAAUUCACAAGCGACACCAG